UGAAUACGAGAUGCUACGGCGUCGAAGCAGUGUAUGUCAGACUUCCAAGAAAAGCUCGCAAUGUCAUAAAUAAAGAAUGCCUGUACCAUAACCGACACAGGUGGGUAGGUAGAGUAUACUAAGGGGCGCGAGAUAACUCUCUCUAAGGAACUCGGCAAAAUAACUCCGUAACUUCGGGAGAAGGAGUGCCUUCUUGAAGAAGGUUGCAAUAACAAGAUCCAAGCAACUGUUUAUCAAAAACACAGGUCUCCGCUAAGUCGAAAGACGAUGUAUGGGGGCUGACGCCUGCCCAGUGCCAGAAGGUUAAAGAAGCUGGUUAGCAAUAGCGAAGCUGGUGACUGAAGCCCUGGUGAACGGCGGCCGUAACAAUAACGGUCCUAAGGUAGCGAAAUUCCUUGUCGGGUAAGUUCCGACCCGCACGAAAGGCGUAAUGAUUUGGAUACUGUCUCGGAGAGGGACUCGGUGAAAUAGACUUGUCUGUGAAGAUGCGGACUACCUGCACCAGGACAGAAAGACCCUAUGAAGCUUUACUGUAACUUGAAAUUGAAAUUGGACUUUAUUUGCGCAGUAUAGGUGGAAGGCGUUGAGAUUACUCUUGCGGGAUUAGUGGAGCCAUCAGUGAGAUACCACUCCUAUAAUGUUAGAUUUCUAACUUUGGAUCAUAAUCUGGUCAAAGAACAGUUUCAGGCGGGCAGUUUGACUGGGGCGGUCGCCUCCCAAAUGGUAACGGAGGCGUACAAAGGUUUCCUCUGAACGGGUAGAAAUCGUAUCUAGAGUGUAAAGGCAUAAGGAAGCUUGACUGUGAGACCUACAAGUCGAGCAGGGACGAAAGUCGGUCUUAGUGAUCUGACGGUGCUGAGUGGAAAGGCCGUCACUCAACGGAUAAAAGUUACUCUAGGGAUAACAGGCUGAUCUCCCCCAAGAGUUCACAUCGACGGGGAGGUUUGGCACCUCGAUGUCGGCUCAUCGCAUCCUGGGGCGGUAGUACGUCCCAAGGGUUGGGCUGUUCGCCCAUGAAAGCGGUACGCGAGCUGGGUUCAGAACGUCGUGAGACAGUUCGGUCCAUAUCCGGUGUAGGCGUUAGAAUAUUGAGAGGAGCCUUCUUUAGUACGAGAGGACCGAGAAGGACAUACCUCUGGUGUACCAGUUAUCGUGCCAACGGUAAACGCUGGGUAGCUAUGUAUGGAGAGGAUAACCGCUGAAAGCAUCUAAGUGGGAAGCCCACCUCAAGAUGAG
rnacentral:rRNA from 1 species